rnacentral:rRNA from 1 species
AGAGUUUGAUCCAUGGCUCAGGAUGAACGCUAGCGGCAGGCUUAACACAUGCAAGUCGAGGGGUAUAGUUCUUCGGAACUAGAGACCGGCGCACGGGUGCGUAACGCGUAUGCAAUCUACCUUUUACAGAGGGAUAGCCCAGAGAAAUUUGGAUUAAUACCUCAUAGUAUUACGAAAUGGCAUCAUUUUGUAAUUAAAGUCACAACGGUAAAAGAUGAGCAUGCGUCCCAUUAGCUAGUUGGUAAGGUAACGGCUUACCAAGGCUACGAUGGGUAGGGGUCCUGAGAGGGAGAUCCCCCACACUGGUACUGAGACACGGACCAGACUCCUACGGGAGGCAGCAGUGAGGAAUAUUGGACAAUGGGCGCAAGCCUGAUCCAGCCAUGCCGCGUGCAGGAUGACGGUCCUAUGGAUUGUAAACUGCUUUUAUACGAGAAGAAACACUCCGACGUGUCGGAGCUGACGGAUCGAAGAAUAGGAU